rnacentral:lncRNA from 1 species
GGAUCUUGCAUUGGACAUGUGAAAUCUUCCCAAGUCAGCUGUGUUAUGAACUCUAAAACCUGUAUAUCUUAUCACUAAUCUCACAGUGACCUUAUGCCUGUGAGCAUCAGACCAGUAAGAAAAAGGAAAAAUUUUAGAGCAAAUUCAGCUUUUCCCUGGAGUAAAGGAAAAAACCUGCUCUCAAGAAAGGAUCCUAAGUAUCUUAGUUCCUGAAUGUGGAAUUCCAGACAUCAGGAAACCAGAAGGAAAGGUAUGCAUUUGGGUGAGAGUGAGGAGCAGUGGUAAAUCUUCUCAGAAGUCUUGAUAUUAUCAUACCAUAUUAUCAAGUCAAUCACAGGCCACACUGCCCAAGGGUAAAUCCCUUCCCAUUGCAACAAACCAAAAGAUUUUCUUCUCUCAUGUAAGCUGUGGAAGAUCAUCAAGUACAGAUAUUGCA